GCAAAAUAUUAACUGUUUAUGGUGGCUCUAUGAGAGUUUCGUUUACUUGAACAAAUGCAACAGUCACGCAAAGUACAUAAGACUCAAACUGAAACCAGUAAUUAUCUAUUCCACAGUGUGUUCAGUAAAUCUUAAAAUCAAUGAAAUAAAAUACACAGAAAGUACUUGUCUGUUUUGGUUACUGUCAUGUGAGGUAGCAAAUUUGACAAAUACCCUUCAAGCUAGUUUGCAA
rnacentral:misc_RNA from 1 species